GAUGAACGCUGGCGGCGUGCCUAAUACAUGCAAGUCGAGCGAACAGACGAGAGUGCUUGCACUCUCUGACGUUAGCGGCGGACGGGUGAGUAACACGUGGGUAACCUACCUAUAAGACUGGGAUAACUUCGGGAAACCGGAGCUAAUACCGGAUAAUAUUUAGCUUCGCAUGAAGCAAUAGUGAAAGACGGUUCUGCUGUCACUUAUAGAUGGACCCGCGGUGUAUUAGCUAGUUGGUGAGGUAACGGCUCACCAAGGCAACGAUACAUAGCCGACCUGAGAGGGUGAUAGGCCACACUGGGACUGAGACACGGCCCAGACUCCUACGGGAGGCAGCAGUAGGGAAUCUUCCGCAAUGGACGAAAGUCUGACGGAGCAAUGCCGCGUGAGUGAAGAAGGUUUUCGGAUCGUAAAACUCUGUUGUAAGGGAAGAACAAGUACGUUAGUAACUGAACGCACCUUGACGGUACCUUACCAGAAAGCCACGGCUAACUACGUG
rnacentral:rRNA from 1 species